rnacentral:rRNA from 1 species
AGAGUUUGAUCCUGGCUCAGAUUGAACGCUGGCGGAAUGCUUUACACAUGCAAGUCGAACGGUAGAGGGGGCAACCCCUUGAGAGUGGCGAACGGGUGAGUAAUAUAUCGGAACGUGCCCAGUCGUGGGGGAUAACGUAGCGAAAGUUACGCUAAUACCGCAUACGAUCUAUGGAUGAAAGCGGGGGAUCGCAAGACCUCGCGCGAUUGGAGCGGCCGAUAUCAGAUUAGGUAGUUGGUGGGGUAAAGGCUCACCAAGCCAACGAUCUGUAGCUGGUCUGAGAGGACGACCAGCCACACUGGAACUGAGACACGGUCCAGACUCCUACGGGAGGCAGCAGUGGGGAAUUUUGGACAAUGGACGCAAGUCUGAUCCAGCCAUUCCGCGUGCAGGAUGAAGGCCCUCGGGUUGUAAACUGCUUUUGUACGGAACGAAAAGGUUUCUCUUAAUACGAGGAGCUCAUGACGGUACCGUAAGAAUAAGCACCGGCUAACUACGUGCCAGCAGCCGCGGUAAUACGUAGGGUGCAAGCGUUAAUCGGAAUUACU